CCUACGGGCGGCUGCAGUGGGGAAUAUUGCACAAUGGGCGCAAGCCUGAUGCAGCCAUGCCGCGUGUGUGAAGAAGGCCUUCGGGUUGUAAAGCACUUUCAGCGGGGAGGAAGGCGGUGAGGUUAAUAACCUCAUCGAUUGACGUUACCCGCAGAAGAAGCACCGGCUAACUCCGUGCCAGCAGCCGCGGUAAUACGGAGGGUGCAAGCGUUAAUCGGAAUUACUGGGCGUAAAGCGCACGCAGGCGGUCUGUCAAGUCGGAUGUGAAAUCCCCGGGCUCAACCUGGGAACUGCAUUCGAAACUGGCAGGGUAGAGUCUUGUAGAGGGGGGUAGAAUUCCAGGUGUAGCGGUGAAAUGCGUAGAGAUCUGGAGGAAUACCGGUGGCGAAGGCGGCCCCCUGGACAAAGACUGACGCUCAGGUGCGAAAGCGUGGGGAGCAAACAGGAUUAGAUACCCCGGUAGUC
rnacentral:rRNA from 1 species